AGUUCCUGCCUUGAUUUCCUUCAGUGAUGAACAGCCAUGCUGAAGUAGCUUCAACUAGACACUGGUUGCUGACAAGCUAUGCCCUAUUAUUAUCAUCUGAGCCCAUCCAAUUUGGAAAUAAGGUCAGUGCCGUUGACUACAGCAGCUGUGCUCCAGGCUGUAGAUGUUCAAGUUUGUUCUGCUGAUUUUCCUUCUGUGACUUGGGUGAAGGAGCAGUGGCUACCUCAGGCCAGGAUUUCUCAAGAAGCAAGUCAGACACACACAAGCAGCCACAAAAGACUAGGCAAGCACAUUUAAAUAUAGGCCUCAAAGGAGGUGUUCUGGUGCCGGAGAUACUGCAGAUGGACACAUGUAUCUGCUUUUAGAAAUACAAAUCUAGAUACAUGAUUAUUUUCAUCAGGGGGUGUGGAAGAAAAGGAAACUCCUGGAAUACUUUUUGCUAUCAAGAAAGGAAAUAUUUUUAUAAGAAAUAUUUAAUUGUCUAAAUUUGCUAAUUUCUUUAUUUUACACUUCUUUAAAGGUGUGUAUACCACACAAAUACAUGUAUACACACACAGCCACAUGCACAACAAUAAAAUUUUCAAUGAAA